AACCAAUCGCUGAAGUUAAACGUCACGCUAGUUGCCCAAUCGACGAUGCCUACGCAGACAGCGACCAAUUAGGAGGCAAGUGGGCGUAUUCUGGCGCACUAAAUAUACAUUGCCAUUGCGCUAUAAUCCCCCACUCUUCCUUCCUGUCGCUUCUCUUUUGUUUCUGCUGUUGUUGAGUUAACAUCGGGGAGAGUCACCAUGCACAAGUCCGAGGCACCCAAGGAACCUGAGCAACUACGCAAGCUGUUUAUUGGAGGCCUGAGUUUUGAAACAACUGACGAAAGUCUCCGUGAGCACUUUGAGCAAUGGGGUACCCUAACAGACUGUGUGGUAAUGAGAGAUCCAAACUCAAAGCGUUCCCGUGGCUUUGGAUUUGUAACCUACUCUUCAACAGAUGAAGUAGAUGCUGCCAUGUCUGCUCGCCCACAUAAGGUGGAUGGACGAGUGGUUGAACCUAAAAGGGCUGUCUCUAGAGAAGAUUCCUCUAGGCCCGGUGCACACCUCACUGUUAAGAAAAUCUUUGUAGGUGGAAUAAAGGAGGACACGGAAGAACAUCAUUUAAGAGAAUAUUUUGAGCAGUAUGGAAAAAUUGAAGUUAUUGAGAUAAUGACAGACAGAGGCAGUGGCAAGAAGAGAGGCUUUGCAUUUGUCACAUUUGAAGAUCAUGAUUCAGUUGACAAGAUUGUCAUCCAGAAAUAUCACACUGUCAACAACCACAAUUGUGAAGUGAGGAAGGCCCUCUCAAAACAGGAAAUGGCUAGUGUUUCUGGCAGUCAGCGAGGACGUGGUGGCUCUGGGAACUUCAGUGGUCGCGGUGGGUUUGGUAAUGACAACUUCGGUGGUCGCGGUGGAAACUUUAGUAGCAACAGAGGUGGUGGAUUUGGUAACAGAGGUUAUGGUGGAGAUGGCUACAAUGGCUUUGGUAAUGAUGGUGGUUACGGUGGCAGCCCUCCAUACUCUGGGGGUAACAGAGGCUAUGGUGGUGGUGGUGGCCAAGGCUAUGGAGGUGGCCAAGGAGGUGGAUAUGGCGGCGGAAAUGGAGGUUAUGAUGGCUAUAAUGGUGGAGGCAGUGGCUUCGGUGGCUCUGGUGGUAACUUUGGUGGCAGUGGUGGUGGUGGCGGUGGAUACAAUGACUUUGGCAACUACAACAAUCAGUCAUCAUCCAGCUUUGGCCCAAUGAAAGGUGGCAAUUAUGGUGGCGGCAGGAAUUCUGGACCAUAUGGAGGUGGCUAUGGCGGAGGGUCUGGUAGCAGCAGUAGCGGAUAUGGCGGUGGGAGGAGGUUUUAAUUUUUCUACAGGAAGCAAUGCUUAGCAGCAGAGGACAGCCAGGCAAGCGACAGGUUACUACAAAAGUUGAAUUCAGCCAAGCACAGGUGUGGCAGGGCAUAGCUGCUACAUGAAGAAAUGUUAGCGAAUCAGUAACCAAUGAGGAAAACACAGGACUAUUUGUGACACAUUAAUUGUAUGAAGAAAUAAGUUUUUUGUUGUGAGCAUGUAAAACAGUUAAUUUUUUAAUGUAUAGGUUCCAUUAUAUGAAAGUUGCUUUUUAUUUUUUUUCACUGUGGUCAUGCUGUUGAACUGUACAAAUCUUGGUCAUGACUAAAUAAAUUGUCCCCUUUUUUAAACGUGUAGGUGUAACUUUGAAGUGUAGAUUUGAUGUAGGAGACUUGUAUUUGCUAGCAGCUUGCCAUUACUGGUAUGAUACAAACAGUGCUUUCUAGAACCUUUGGUUAGUGAGUCUUGUUCUUAGGAACAGGGUGCAACUAGUACAGCUGUACAGCUUUACUGCUAGGCUGACCUUUAUAAAGCCUAGCUAAACUUCAGCUUCUUAAAUGGAUUCCAUAUUUCGGCCAAGCUUGUGUUUACUUUUGGAUGGAUAUCUUAUGCAAUUGAAGUUGGUCUUCAGUCUGCUUGUCAGGGUCACUGAACAUAGUAUCAAAGUCAGUGUGGAGGGGGGACAGGGUUGUAUACUGGUAAUCUUAUCUACCUCGCAAGAACCAGAACAUUGGGGUAGCUUCAGUUUUCUGUUUGCCUGCCUAGCUUAAGCAGAUAUUUUAGACUCAGACUUGCAUGCAAGCCGGAUGAAUAAAAUGCAAAUGAAGGGAGAGGGCAGAGGGAAGACAUGCACAGAACCAGUUCUCUUGGGCAGAAUGCAAGUCCCUUCAGAAGAGAAAGCUAUAGCAGUGUUGAUACUGGUCUGUAGCUUCAGAACUAUAAAAUUAGUUACAAAAAAGUCUUUUCUGAAGGGCUGUUAAAAUUGAGACUGUUAGAAGGUAAACAUCCUCUUUAAGAAUAUUAGUUUGUGGUGUUUUGGCUGCAUUUUUUGGACGUGAAAAUUAGCACACAAACUUUAAUAAUUAAUAUGCCUGUAAGUCUGUCUAAAAGGGACUUGAGAUGUGGUAUUCAAAUCAUUUUAACACUUAAAUGAGUCCCUCUUUAUGGCAGAAGUGUAUAGAAGGGAAUCUGCCUGAACUAUUGUUUCUUGAUGGCAGUGCUAAGGACUGUGUUCAGUAAGGGCAAAGACACAAAGGGUGAUUAAUCGCCACAACUUUGAAUUUAGUCUGUCCCUGCGACUUCCCGCCCAGAGUACAACUGCGUCGCCGCGGCAAAUCACGUGUGCAGUUUUGUGGUUUGUAUUAGUCGUAGAGGUGACUAAUCACCCCAUGUGUCUCUGCCAAGUCGAGCCUCCGCUCAGUGCAGAACAGAGAUGGCUGCUUUUAAUGUAAUCUCUGGGGAUAAACAGCCUAGUGGUGCUAACACUAAGUUAUUCUACUACAUUUCUUAACUCUUGUCAGGUAGCGCUGAGGCCUAUUCUCUCUUCCAUUAUGUACAAUAAGCUGCUUUUGGUUCUUUUUCAACAUGUAGAUGUAACUUUUGGGCUAAAUCAAGAUGAUAUCUCUAAGUAUUUACUAUAGGAGACAUUAUUUUUGCUAGUGAUCUAUAGACAAAAUUUUGGGGGAGGAAUGUAUAAGAACUUAAGACAACCCUCCCUUUUUGUAGCUUUUGUAUAAGCAAGCAGUUGUACACUAAAGCAAGCAUACUGUUUGAGAACAAAUGCUUUCUAUGUUAGACCUUUUAACCCUCUAAAUGCACCACCUACACUCCAGAGCAUUCAACGUGCGCCUGUGCCUAAUGAGAGGCAGAGUAGUGAGGUGGGGUUGCCAUCUGCCGUGUAUGGCCGCUUUACUUCCUAAUGCUGGUGGCAAUCACUAUCCAGAGCCACAACCUCUGGUUGAAUGCCCCAGGGACAGUAAGUUAAAAUUGCCAACCCUGCAAAUAUUGCUCAGUUGGUUUGUAUUAGCAUGUUGGCAUUCUUGCUAUGUUUAAGUCUGCAUUGAAACUGACUGGAGACUCCAGUUGCUGCUGCUUAGAUGGGUAAACCCAAACAUACAAGGCAAGCUAGCGUGGUCCUUCUAAGGAUGAAGACAGUCAGAAACUGGUCGAAUAGGUAACAGGAGAGACUGCUAGCAAGCAAGAUGUUCCAGUCAGCUCAGACCAGCCUUCCGUCAGCUGAGAAAGAUUAGCCAAGCAACCAUUAAAGCAGAUCAGUGCAUACAUAACGGCUAGACAAGCUAAAGGGACUCAUCAGCUCAUCGGAAGGAGGCAGUCGAGUGCAGAAUCUUCAUAUUUAAGCCUAGCAGGCAGUUCCAGCCAGAAGGGACAGUUAUGUUACCUUUUUGUAGGAGAAUAUCCUUCGACAUGAUUAAACUGACCUGGGACCUUAGUUGGGAAGAAGUGUCCUGAUGCAGGUUUCAAGAUUACCUGAUGUGACAGAUCUGACCAACUUCCAAUUCCACAGCUACUGUGUAGCUCUGUUUUUCAAAAUAAAAGUUUUUAAUUUCCUUU